rnacentral:rRNA from 1 species
UAUCUCUGUAGAGUCUGCAUAUCAAUAAGCGGAGGAAAAGAAACUAACUAGGAUUCCCCUCAGUAACGGCGAGUGAAGCGGGAAGAGCUCAAAUUUGAAAUCUUCAAGGUUUUACCUUGACGAAUUGUAGUUUAAAGAAGUGUUUUCUGUUGGAGUUUUGGUAAAAGUUCUUUGGAAUAGGACAUCAUAGAGGGUGAGAAUCCCGUAUUUGACCAUUAUUUCCAGCUUUGUGAUACACUUUCAAAGAGUCGGAUUGUUUGGGAAUGCAGUCCAAAAUGGGUGGUAAAUUUCAUCUAAAGCUAAAUAUUGGCGAGAGACCGAUAGCGAACAAGUACCGUGAGGGAAAGAUGAAAAGAACUUUGAAAAGAGAGUUAAACAGUACGUGAAAUUGUCAAAAGGGAAGCGUUUGACACCAGUGUUGUUUAGUUGAAAAUCAAUUAAAUAGUUUUCGAUUUUAAGUAGUAUUGACCUUAUCAGCUUGCUGCUUUCUUCUCGGAAAUUAUUUAAUGCACUUUUCAGUUAACAAGUCAACAUCAAUUUCUUUUGUUGUAAAAAGGUAAGAGGAAGGUGGCUUGCGCUUCGGCUCAAGUGUUUAUAGCCUUUUACUUCUGCAAUCGGAGAGAUUGAGGUCUGCAGCGUAGAUCCUUCGGGGUUAGAUACAUUUGUGCUAGCUAUAGCCUUGUAUAGACAACUUGUUGACUAUGCUCAGUCAUGUAGCUUACUCGCUUAUGCUAUUUUACCUACGCUUAGGAUGUUGAGUAGCGACAUACGCAC